UACGGGGGGGGCAAGCGUUGUUCGGAAUUAUUGGGCGUAAAGGGUUCGUAGGUGGCCGGCUAAGUCAGACGUGAAAUCCCUCAGCUUAACUGGGGAACUGCGUCUGAGACUGGUCGGCUUGAGUGCAGGAGAGGAACGCGGAAUUCCAGGUGUAGCGGUGAAAUGCGUAGAUAUCUGGAGGAACACCGGUGGCGAAGGCGGCAUCCUGGACCGGUAUUGACGCUGAGGAGCGAAAGCCAGGGGAGCAAACGGG
rnacentral:rRNA from 1 species